CAGUAGCCGCGGUAAUACGAAUGGUGCAAGCGUUACUCGGAAUUACUGGGCGUAAAGCGUGCGUAGGUGGUGGUUUAAGUCCGUUGUGAAAGCCCUGGGCUCAACCUGGGAAUUGCAGUGGAUACUGGGUCACUAGAGUGUGGUAGAGGAUAGUGGAAUUUCCGGUGUAGCAGUGAAAUGCGUAGAGAUCGGAAGGAACAUCUGUGGCGAAGGCGACUAUCUGGGCCAACACUGACACUGAGGCACGAAAGCGUGGGGAGCAAACAGGAUUAGAUACCCCUGUAGUCCCUGUCUCUUAUAC
rnacentral:rRNA from 1 species